UACAGAGGUCUCGAGCGUUAGGCGGAAUCACUGGGCUUAAAGCGUGUGUAGGUGGAUCGUUAAGUACCUUGCGAAAUCCCACGGCUUAACCGUGGAACUGCUUGGUAUACUGGCGGUCUUGAGCCACUUAGGGGCUACCGGAACAAAUGGUGGAGCGGUGAAAUGCGUAGAUAUCAUUUGGAACGCCAAUGGUGAAAACAGGUAGCUGGGAGUGUGCUGACACUGAAACACGAAAGCCAGGGGAGCAAACGGG
rnacentral:rRNA from 1 species